GAAGAAGCUCCCUAUGUACUGAUAUGUGCCGAUCAGCAAGACAUCUUGUAUUUUGUAAGGCUCACAGAUGAAAGGGACUUGCCUUGUCUCAAAUGAAACUUCGGACUUCACACUUUUGAGUUAAUGCUGGAAUGAGUUAAGACUUUGGGGGACUGUUGAGAGGGAUGAUUGCAUUUUGUAAUGUGAGAAGGACAUGAAAUUUGGAAGGGUCAGGGGUGGAAUGAUAUAGUUUGAAUCUGUGUCCACACCUAAUCUUAAAUCAAAUCACAAUCUCUAGUGUUGAAGAUGGGGCCUGGUGGGAGGUGACUGGAUCAUGGGGAAGGAGUUCUCAUGAAUGGUUUAGCACCAUUAUCUUGGUGUUGUUCUCAUGAUAGAGUUCUCACAAGACCUGUUUGUUUAAAAGUGUGUAGCACCUCCCACCUUGCUCUCUUUUGGUCCUGCUCCUGCUUUGCCUUCUGUAAUGAGUAAAAGCUCCCCGAGGCCUCCCCAGAAGCAGACGCUGCCAUGCUUCCUGUACAACCUGCAGAACUGUGAG
rnacentral:lncRNA from 10 species